rnacentral:rRNA from 1 species
CCUACGGGUGGCAGCAGUGGGGAAUAUUGGACAAUGGGCGCAAGCCUGAUGCAGCCAUGCCGCGUGUGUGAAGAAGGCCUUCGGGUUGUAAAGCACUUUCAGUGGGGAAGAAAGCCUUGGGGUUAAUACCCUCGAGGAAGGACAUCACCCACAGAAGAAGCACCGGCUAACUCCGUGCCAGCAGCCGCGGUAAUACGGAGGGUGCGAGCGUUAAUCGGAAUUACUGGGCGUAAAGCGCGCGUAGGCGGUCUGAUAAGCCGGUUGUGAAAGCCCCGGGCUCAACCUGGGAACGGCAUCCGGAACUGGCAGGCUAGAGUGCAGGAGAGGAAGGUAGAAUUCCCGGUGUAGCGGUGAAAUGCGUAGAGAUCGGGAGGAAUACCAGUGGCGAAGGCGGCCUUCUGGACUGACACUGACGCUGAGGUGCGAAAGCGUGGGUAGCAAACAGGAUUAGAUACCCCUGUAGUC